rnacentral:rRNA from 1 species
GAUGAACGCUAGCUACAGGCUUAACACAUGCAAGUCGAGGGGUAACGAGAGGAAAGCUUGCUUUCCUUGUUGACGACCGGCGCACGGGUGAGUAACGCGUAUCCAACCUGCCCCCAACUAGGGAAUAACCUUGCGAAAGUAAGACUAAUACCCUAUAAUUUCCUCAGAUGUCAUCUGACGAGGAAUAAAGAUUUAUCGGCUGCGGAGGGGGAUGCAUCUGAUUAGCUUGUUGGCGGGGUAACGGCCCACCAAGGCAACGAUCAGUAGGGGUUCUGAGAGGAAGGUCCCCCACAUUGGAACUGAGACACGGUCCAAACGCCUACGGGAGGCAGUAGUGAGGAAUAUUGGUCAAUGGGCGGAAGCCUGAACCAGCCAAGUAGCGUGCAGGAUGACGGCCCUAUGGGUUGUAAACUGCUUUUAUACAGGAAUAAAGUUAGCCACGUGUGGUUAUUUGUAGGUACUGUAUGAAUAAGGACCGGCUAAUUCCGUGCCAGCCGCCGCCGUAA